GAUUAACGCUGGCGGCAUGCCUAAUACAUGCAAGUCGAACGCCAAAUCUUCCUGCUUGCAGGAAGAGGCCGAGUGGCGAACGGGUGAGUAACACGUGAGGAACUUGCCCAUAAGAGGGGGAUAACACCCGGAAACGGGUGCUAAUACCGCAUAAGUUUUCCCACCGCAUGGUGGGAAAAUAAAAGGUGGCUUUGCUCCCCCUCAUGGAUAGCCUCGCGGCGCAUUAGCUAGUUGGUACGGUAGAGGCCUACCAAGGACAUGAUGCGUAGCCGACUUGAGAGGGUGAUCGCCCACACUGGAACUGAGACACGAGUCCAGACUCCUACGGGAGGCAGCACUAGGGAAUCUUCCACAAUGGGUGCAAGCCUGAUGGAGCAAUGCCGCGUGAGUGAAGAAGGACUUCGGUUCGUAAAGCUCUGUUGCUGCGGAAGAACACGGAUAGGAGUCACCGCCUAUCCCUUGACGGUACCCAACCAGAAAGUCACGGCUAACUACGUGCCAGCCGCCGCGGUAAUACGUAUGUGACAAGCGUCGUCCGGAUUUAUUGAUCGUAAAGCGAGCGCAGGCCGUCCGGUAAGUCCGAUGCGAAUGCCCACCGCUCAACCGUAGAACGAGUUUGGACACUGGCGGACUUGAAUGUAGCAGAGGAAAGGGGAAUUUCCAUGUGUAGCGGUGGAAUGCGUAGAUAUAUGGAGGAACACCAGUGGUGAAAGCGACUUUCUGGGCUAUGAUUGACGCUGAGGCUCGAAAGCGUGGGGAGCGAACAGGAUUAGAUACCCUGGUAGUCCACGCCGUAAACGAUGAGUGCUAAGUGUUGGAGGGUUUCCGCCCUUCAGUGCUGGAGUUAACGCAUUAAGCACUCCGCCUGGGGAUUACGACCGCAAGGUUGAAACUCAAAAGAAUUGACGGGGACCCGCACAAGCGGUGGAGCAUGUGGUUUAAUUCGAAGCAACGCGAAGAACCUUACCAGCUCUUGACAUCUUCUGCUAGCUUCAGAGAUGAAGGGUUCCCUUCGGGGACAGAAUGACAGGUGGUGCAUGGUUGUCGUCAGCUCGUGUCGUGAGAUGUUGGGUUAAGUCCCGUAACGAGCGCAACCCUUAUUGUUAGUUGCCAGCAUUGAGUUGGGCACUCUAGCAAGACUGCCGGUGAUAAACCGGAGGAAGGCGGGGAUGACGUCAAAUCAUCAUGCCCCUUAUGAGCUGGGCUACACACGUGCUACAAUGGAUGGUACAACGAGUGGCGAGACCGCGAGGUUUAGCUAAUCUCCCAAAGCCAUUCUCAGUUCGGAUUGCAGGCUGCAACUCGCCUGCAUGAAGUCGGAAUCGCUAGUAAUCGCGGAUCAGCAUGAAGCGGUGAAUUCGUUCCCGGGUCU
rnacentral:rRNA from 1 species